rnacentral:tRNA from 1 species
UGGGGUUGUGGCUCAGCGGUAGAGUGCUUGCCUAGCAUGUGUGAGGCCCUGGGUUCAAUCCUCAGCACCACAA